AGGGAUGCCGUAAUCUAACAUGCAAAUAAAUUGAAGGUAAGUGAAUGACGAUUCACUAAUUCUCCAUCACAAAACUUAAACUAUUAGUCCUAAGUGUUUUUGAGAAUUCCUAGGUUCGGAUGAGAUUCAUUGAAACUAUUCAAUGGCAUGUUUAAAUCUCGAUAUGCCCCUCUUGUUUGUGACUGGGAUGCCGAGGAUCACAAAGCGGGUGUGAAUUACCAUGCAAAUUCACAUGGUGCCUUCAUUGUAACGAUCACCUAUUCGAUGUGCCGGUAAACCACACACGCUCCAUCGAACUAUGAUAAACAAUGAAUCACCCUUUGCCACCUUCGCUUAGAACCAAUUAGUGUGCCGGUAAACCACACACGCUCCACUAACAUCUUAGCAAGGUGCAAAGUGUAAUUUCAUGGGAUUGCAUCAAUUCACUUUUCCUAAAGUAACUAGGAUUGGGAAAUUUUAAAAAAAUAUGUAGUUACUUUAUAUUUCUUAUUAUACUUUUAAUGAGAGGAUGAGGUUGCCCUAUCCUACCCGUUCGGCUAACGACCCUCCACCAAUCAAGCAAGCGGUGGGUGUGAGUGUACACCCAUUAAGCGCCAUUUUAUAGGCCGCAACCUUAUACCCACCUUAUAGAUCGGCUUCGUGAAUGAGGCCUACUAACGGUAAGACUAGCAUUUAGUUAUACAUAUAUAUAUUAUUCUAGUAAUAUCAUAUUAGUAUAGGGUUGUAUUUUAAAACUUUUAAAAUCUAGGGUUUGAAAUUUAAGUUGUCUAAAUUAAAACUUUUAAUCACAAAAGUAAAUUUCAAAACAUGAGGGUAGGUUUUAAACAUUUAAAACAUGGAGGAUCAAAUAACAAAUAAUUCCAAUUAACAAUUAAUAUCCUAAUUAUCUAUAUUUGAUUUAUUCAAGAUUUCUUUUAAAGAUAAUUACCAAAAUAAUCAAAAUAAUUAAUUAAUUAUCAUAUAAGGAAAUUAAAUAUUUAAUUAGUUGAUAAUUACCUUUAACUAGAUCAAGAUAAUAGUUAUAUUUAUCAGAAAAACGAAUUAAUGUUGAUCUAAUUAGUUUAUGGUAAGUUAAGAUAAGAUAAACACAAAGAAAUCCCGAAUCUGGCCAUUCCUGACGCCUGGACUCGCCGAGUGCACAAAUGGACUCGCCGAGUCAGGCCUACUCGCCGAGUCCACUUUGAGACUCGCCGAGUCCAUGACUCAGAAACCAAAAAUUCGAAUUUUGCAGGUUUGUUUCAGUUAAUCAAGCAACAAUUUACAGAAAACCAAGCUAGGCUCUGAUACCACUGAUGGGUUUUAGCCAUAAGAACUUUCCUAUGUGCGCAUGCAAAACCCUAAUGCUUGGAUCUAGGCUUUCUAAUAAACAUGCUUUGAAUCCAAGACUUCUAAUUACUAAUUAGGUUAAACAAGAACAUUAAAACAGAUCUAGAAUCAUACCUUUGAGUUCCUUGUUGAUCUUGAGGUCUUGGAGCUUCUAGAGUCACAAAUGUCACUCCUCUAAUGGCUUACAAACACCAAAGCAAGGAGGAUGAUUUGGGAGAGAGGAGAGGGGAGGAAUUUCGACCAGAGGUUCCUUACUUUAGGUCAAGUGUCGAAUUCCAUCAGCCAUGGGGUCUAUUUAUACUUGUAGACUCCUUAAGGAUUACAGAUAAGUCCCUAUCAGAUAAUCUUCUCUUAAGGCUAUCCAAAUCCAUUCCUAGAUAACUCUAAUGGACGAUUUUAGCUAUCCUAAUCCUCUUAGAAUUCGUCCAUAGUAUAUCCAAAUGGAUUUACAGUUUAAAGCUUAACUAUCAAACAAUUGACAGUUUAUACCCCUUUAUUUAAUUAAUCUCUUUAAGUCACCAAAUUAAUUCUAAUUAAUUCUAUGACUUAUAUUAAUCAAAUAACAAAUAUAUUAUUCAUUAUAUUAUUCCCAUAAUAUAUUAAUAAUAUUUAUUCUCUCUUAAUAAAUCAUCCUAUCAAGUUGCUAUGGUGAAGGCAACCCAAAAGGACCAUGCACAACCGGAUAUAGUUACAGCCUUAGACACUAUUCCAACAGUCUCCCACUUGGAUAAGUCUAGUAACUAUACAAGUACAAUUCGGUUUGCAAUCGUAGCUCUCAAAGACGCUGUCAACUCUGAUCUAAUCAAUCUUGUCCUUUAGAUAAGGGAACGUACAGUCCUCUGUUAGAUAUCAUGCUGACAAUCCUAUGGAAUGGUUAGUCAAGCAUUUAGGUUUCUCGAUCUCUGAUUUAUUUGACAUAGAACUUAAUCGAACACAUCAAUUCAGUUCUGACCGGGCCCGGCACAUAAGUCAAAUCAAAUCAUCGAGCGGCCGAGAUAUCGCUUUUACCUUCUUAGAUAAAAGUUACAGAUAAACUUCGACUUAUAUGCAUUUACUUAUUCAUUAACCAACUAUACACAACAAUACGUUUUAUAACACCAAGUUACUGAUGCGUUUUCGUAUUAUCAAUGUACAAUCAAUUAACAAAUAAUAAACCAUAUAUCUAGGUUUUAAGACUAUAUGAUAUUAUCGUCUUGCGAUCACCUUUUAUAUCGUAUUCCAUAAGGUGAUUCCAGCAAGCGCGGGUUUAUUCCAAUGCUCAAAACUAGUUCAUAAGCACUCAUGAACGUUGCAGCAAUCCUUUGCUAUGUCUAACACCAUUUAGACAUUCUACACACCAAUUCAUGACAAUCUUCUUUCAUAUCUACUUCCAACAUAUGAACGAUUGUGGACCAUUUGAAUAAUUCGAUUAUUCCUAAUAAACUCAAUUAUUCUGGAAGUCAAAACAUGCAAAGUGAAACAAUAGCUAAACAAUUAACAUAAGAUAGUAACAUUACUCAUAAAUAAAACUCCUUUAUUUAAUCAUCAAAUGUCAAUUACAUUUAUCUAUUACACGUUUCUAAUACUAUCUAAUCUAUGCUAAUAUCAUCCUUCAGCCCAAUACUCCUAGCAUGCUGCAAGUGCUUAACCCUACUCAGUCCCUUCGUAAGCGGAUCUGCUGGGUUAUCUUCUGAUGAUAUCCUCUUCACUACGAGUUGUCCUUCUUCUACACGAUGUCUAAUGAAGUGAUACUUUCUGUCGAUAUGUCUUGAUCUACCAUGAUCCCUCGGUUCCUUGGUUAAGGCAACCGCACCUUCGUUAUCACAGAAAAUCUCCAUUGGCUCCUUUAUGGCAGGUACGACUCCAAGAUCACCGAUGAAGUUCUUUAGCCAUAUUGCCUCCUUCGACGCUUCGCUCGCUGCAAUGUACUCUGAUUCGCACGUUGAAUCAGCUACGGUUUCCUGCUUGGAACUCUUCCAUGUCACUGCUCCUCCAUUUAGGGUAAAGACCCAGCCCGACUGCGAACGGUAGUUGUCCCUGUCGGUCUGAAAACUGGCGUCACUAUACCCUCGCACCUUCAAGUCAUCACUCCCUCCGAGGACUAAGAACCAUUCCUUCGUCCUCCGAAGGUACUUAAGGAUAUUCUUCACCGCAAUCCAAUGUGCUUUGCCAGGAUUCCCUUGAUAUCUGCUAACCAUGCUCAAAGCGAAGGCUACAUCAGGGCGAGUACAAGUCAUAGCGUACAUGAUUGAGCCAACUGCGGAAGCGUAUGGUACUCGGCUCAUUUCUGCUAUCUCAGCUUCGGUACUCGGACUUUGAGUCUUACUCAAUUUGGCAUUACUUUGUAUCGGUAGUUCUCCCUUCUUUGAGUUUUCCAUACUAAAACGUUUUAGUACCUUCUCUAAGUAAGUAUUCUGACUAAGUCCAAUUAGUCUCUUACUUCUUUCUCUUACUAUCCUUAUUCCCAAAAUGUAAGAAGCCUCUCCGAGGUCCUUCAUAGCGAAGCACUUCCCGAGCCAGGACUUAACCUCCUGCAGAGUCGGGAUGUCGUUUCCUAUGAGUAAUAUGUCAUCGACAUAUAGAACGAGGAAGCUUACUAUACUCCCACUGGCUUUGACAUAUACACAAGAUUCGUCUUCGCUUCGUACAAAUCCAAACUCUUUGACUUUCUCAUCGAAGCAAAGAUUCCAUCUGCGAGACGCUUGCUUAAGUCCAUAAAUGGACUUCUCAAGCUUACACACUCUAUUCGGAUGCUUCGGAUCCACAAACCCCUCUGGCUGAGCCAUGUAAACAUCCUCAGCCAACUUUCCGUUAAGGAAAGCGGUCUUGACAUCCAUUUGCCAAAUCUCAUAAUCAUGAAAUGCGGCAAUUGCUAGCAUCACUCUAAUAGAUUUAAUCUUCGCAACUGGUGAGAAGGUCUCAUCAUAGUCAACUCCGGGAGUUUGAGUAAAGCCCUUCGCAACCAAUCGCGCUUUAUAUGUGUGUACGUUUCCAUCCACGUCGGUCUUCUUCUUGAAGAUCCAUUUGCACCCAACGGUCUUACGUCCGGGCACAUAAUCAACCAAAUUCCAAACUUGGUUAUCAUACAUGGAUUGGAUCUCGCUAUCCAUUGCCUCUUUCCAUUUUGCAGACUCCGGGCCUGCCAUGGCUUCCUUAUAGCUAUUAGGUUCAUCAAGAUUUAUUAGUGUACCAUCACUAAUAUACGUGUCCCCUUCGGUAGUAAUAUGAAAACCAUAAAACUGGGGUUGAACUCUAACUCUAUCGGAACGUCUAAGAGGUAAGGAUUCGUCAAUCGGUUCAACCGGAGUUUCCUCCUCGGGUUGAGUGCCAGCGGUAGAGGUUCCUUCAUCUAUCGACUCUUGAAUCUCUUCAAGCUCGAUUUGCCUCCCACUGUCUCCUUGGCUUAUGAGUUCUCGCUCUCGGAAAACUCCUCUCCUCGCAACGAAGACAACAUUGUCCUUCGGUCUAUAGAAGAGAUAUCCAAAGGAUGUCUGCGGGUAGCCGAUGAAAAUACAUCGCUCACUUCGAGGUUCAAGCUUGUCGUGAGUAUCUCGUCUUACGAAAGCCUCGCAACCCCAAACCUUGAUAUGUGCCAACGAGGGAGCUUUCCCUGUCCACAUCUCGUGAGGUGUUUUGGCAACCUUCUUAGUAGGGACUCGGUUAAGGAUAUGGGCGGCAGUCUCUAAGGCAUACCCCCAAAAAGAGAUAGGUAGUGAAGCACGACUCAUCAUAGAGCGAACCAUAUCCAAUAAGGUUCGAUUACGCCUUUCUGCCACACCAUUCAACUGCGGUGUCCUAGGAGGCGUCAAUUGCGAAACUAUUCCACACUCCUUGAGAUAAUCGUGGAAUUCAAGACUUAGGUACUCUCCUCCUCGAUCGGAUCGAAGCAUCUUGAUUUUCCUGCCCAAUUGAUUCUCCACUUCAUUCUUGAACUCUUUGAACUUUUCAAAGGUGUCUGACUUUUGCUUGAUUAAGUAGAUAUACCCAUAUCUACUAUAGUCAUCGGUAAAAGUCACAUAGAAGCGGUUCCCAUCCUUCGUGGUUGAUCUAAACGGUCCACAUACAUCGGUAUGUAUUAGGUCCAAUAGACCCUCGCCCCUUUCACAUGUACUCGUGAAGGGUGACUUAGUCAUCUUUCCAAGCAAACAAGACUCGCAUGUGUCAUCUUCCCUAAGGUCGAAUGACUCCAACACUCCAUCCUUUUGGAGUUGGGCUAUGCGUUUCUUGUUGACAUGUCCAAGACGACAAUGCCACAAGGAUGCUUUAUCCAUACUAGUGGAAGAAUCAAUAUUCAAAACAUCAUUUCCUAAGUUAUCAACAAUCAUAACGGUUUCAUAUAUUCCAUUACAUGGUAUAGCUUCAAAGUAAAAGACACCAUUUAGAUAAGCCAAAAUAGAACCAUUCUCAUUAUUAAAAGAAAAUCUAAAUCCUUGUCUAUAUAAACCAUGAAAUGAAAUGAUGUUUCUUGCCAUUUCUGGCGAAUAGCAACAAUUGUUCAAAUCUAAAACUAAACUAUUCCUAAGCACUAAGGAAUACACUCCAAUCUUGGUCACAGGCGACGAUCUUCUGUUCCCCAUGAUUAGAUUGAUCCUUCCUUGCUCCACAUCCCUACUUCUUCUUAGUCCCUGCACAUUAGAACAAAUGUGAUAACCACAACCGGUAUCAAGAACCCAAGAAAUAGCAUGAUUAGAAUCGUUAGAUUUGAUUGUAUAUAUACCUGCGAAAGAUGGCUUGAUCUUUCCUUCUUUGAUUGCUUGCAGGUAAUCCGGGCAGCUUCUCUUCCAAUGUCCUAUCUUGUGGCAGUGGUGGCACUCUGCCUCCUUCGGGUUAGAGCAGGGCUUGGCGGGAUCAACUUUGGUCCCACUAGAAGAGGCACCAUCUCGGGCUUUCACCUUGCGAUAGUUCUUCGAUGAAGCUUUCCUCUUCUUUCCCUUCCCUUGUCCAAUAGCCAAGACAGGAGCAGCGGGCGGAUUGGGAGUAGGUGCAACAGACUUGUCUUUGAAGUUGCUCUCAGCAACCCUCAAGAGACCUUGGAGCUUGCUUAGGGUGACCUCUUCUUUGUUCAUGUGGUAGGUCAUCCUAAAUUGGUUGUACAUCGGAGGCAAAGAGUGAAGCACCAUGUCGAUCGCCAAGUCUUCACCGAAGUCAACAUUUAACUUGCGGAGGCGGUCAACAUACCUUUGCAUCUUUUGCAAGUGCACGGUAAGAGAUUCUCCAUGACCCAUCUUCGCGGAAAUCAUGUUAGUGAAAAUCUCGUACCUCUCUUGUCUCGCGUUUUGGUGGUACCUCUCCAAUAAGUCUUGAUGCAUCUCGUACGGGUACAUGUCCUCGUAGGACUUUUGGAAUUCGGAGUUCAUGGUGGCGAUCAUGAUGCAAUGUACCUUCGUUGCAUCUCGCUCAUGAGUUUCAAAGGCGGUGAUUUCGGCGGGAGUAGCAAUUUCGGGGUUGAUUUUCUCGAGCUUCUCAUCGAGGACAUACUCCUUAUCCUCAUAGCGAGCAAUGGUGCGAAUGUAUCUUAUCCAUUCGCUAAAGUUCGUCCCAUCGAAAGUCACCUUUUGACAAAGGCUCAUCAAUGUGAAUGAACUAGCAGCAGCGUUGUUUGCGUUCGACAUCUACAAAUAGAAAGGACAAAGAUAGAUUAGAAUUUGAAUUCCUAAUUAUCACCCAAUAAGAAAAUUAGGGCUAGGAUCCAACAACAAUAUUUACACAUUAGAAAAGGGAUAUCGUAAUCUAACAUGCAAACAUUUUGAAGGUAAGUGAAUGACGUGUCACUAAUUCUCCACUAUAAACAUAACUUUAAGUUCUAAAUGUAUUGAGAAUUCCUUGGUUUAGAUGAGAUUCAUUGAAACUUUUCAAUGACAUGUUUAAAUCUCGAUAUGCCCCUCUCGUUUGUGACUGGGAUGCCGAGGAUCACAAAGCGGGUGUGAAUUACCAUGCAAAUUCACAUGGUGCCUUCAUUGUAACGAUCACCUAUUCGAUGUGCCGGUAAACCACACACGCUCCAUCGAACUAUAAUAAACAAUGAAUCACCCUUUGCCACCUUUGCUUAGAACCAAUUAGUGUGCCGGUAAACCACUCACGCUCCACUAACUUCUUAGCAAGGGUGCAAAGUGUAAUUUCAUGGGAUUGCAUCAAUUCACUUUUCCUAAAGUAAUUAAGAUUGGGAAAUUUUGAAAAAACAUGUAGUUACUUUUAUUUCAUAUUAUAAUUUUAAUGAAGAGAUGAGAUUGCCCUAUCCUACCCGUUCGGCUAACGACCCUCCACCGAUCAAGCAAGCGGUGGGUGUGAGUGUACACCCAUUAAGCGCCAUUUUAUAGGCCGCAACCUUAUACCCANUAUAUAUAUAUAUAUAUAUAUAUAUCUUGUAAUAUUAUAUUAGUAUAGGGUUGAAUUUUAAACUUGUAAAAUUCUAGGGUUUGAAAUUUAAAUUGUCUAAAUUAAACUUUUAAUCACAAAACAUAAAUUUCAAAACUUGAGGGCAAGUUUUAAACUUUUCAAAACAUAGAGGAUCAAAUAACAAAUAAUAUAAAUUAACA
rnacentral:lncRNA from 1 species